CGUUUUUCUCUGUUUCUAGCUUAACACAGUCAUAAUUGACAUAAGUAUUAUUUCCAAUUGCAGCAUAAUAAAUUCAAUGGAUAAGGAUAUAGACUUCAUAACGUCUUUGUUCUUCCAAUUGACUUCUAUGUAUAUGAUUUUGAAAAAAAGACAAAAAGCCAAAUGGUGGAGAAAUAGGAAAUGACUUGUGAGACCAAUCAACAGACGUCGAAUGUUGCAAGGAGAUUUUCAGCAUCUUUUUCAAGAGAUGAAAGAAGAUCCAAAUUUAUUUUUCCGGAACAGGCUAUUUAAUAUAAAGAAUGAAUAAUAGGUGCAUCCAAAAGCAAAGAGAUACUUUGGCGCAAUAUUUUCUGACUCCAGAAGGCGAAGUACCAUGGCAGUUUGAAUAUAUUC